rnacentral:rRNA from 1 species
UCAAGUGAAGAAGCGCAUACGGUGGAUGCCUUGGCAGUCAGAGGCGAUGAAAGACGUGGUAGCCUGCGAAAAGCUUCGGGGAGUCGGCAAACAGACUUUGAUCCGGAGAUGUCUGAAUGGGGGAACCCAGCCAUCAUAAGAUGGUUAUCUUGUACUGAAUACAUAGGUGCAAGAGGCGAACCAGGGGAACUGAAACAUCUAAGUACCCUGAGGAAAAGAAAUCAACCGAGAUUCCCUUAGUAGUGGCGAGCGAACGGGGACUAGCCCUUAAGUGGCUUUGAGAUUAGCGGAACGCUCUGGAAAGUGCGGCCAUAGUGGGUGAUAGCCCUGUACGCGAAAAUCUCUUAGUCAUGAAAUCGAGUAGGACGGAGCACGAGAAACUUUGUCUGAAUAUGGGGGGACCAUCCUCCAAGGCUAAAUACUACUGACUGACCGAUAGUGAACUAGUACCGUGAGGGAAAGGCGAAAAGAACCCCGGAGAGGGGAGUGAAAUAGAUCCUGAAACCGUAUGCGUACAAGCAGUGGGAGCAGACUUUGUUCUGUGACUGCGUACCUUUUGUAUAAUGGGUCAGCGACUUAUUUUCAGUGGCGAGCUUAACCGAAUAGGGGAGGCGUAGCGAAAGCGAGUCUUAAUAGGGCGUCUAGUCGCUGGGAAUAGACCCGAAACCGGGCGAUCUAUCCAUGGGCAGGUUGAAGGUUAGGUAACACUGACUGGAGGACCGAACCGACUACCGUUGAAAAGUUAGCGGAUGACCUGUGGAUCGGAGUGAAAGGCUAAUCAAGCUCGGAGAUAGCUGGUUCUCCUCGAAAGCUAUUUAGGUAGCGCCUCAUGUAUCACUGUAGGGGGUAGAGCACUGUUUCGGCUAGGGGGUCAUCCCGACUUACCAAACCGAUGCAAACUCCGAAUACCUACAAGUGCCGAGCAUGGGAGACACACGGCGGGUGCUAACGUCCGUCGUGAAAAGGGAAACAACCCAGACCGUCAGCUAAGGUCCCAAAGUUAUGGUUAAGUGGGAAACGAUGUGGGAAGGCUUAGACAGCUAGGAGGUUGGCUUAGAAGCAGCCACCCUUUAAAGAAAGCGUAAUAGCUCACUAGUCGAGUCGGCCUGCGCGGAAGAUGUAACGGGGCUCAAACCAUACACCGAAGCUACGGGUAUCAUCUUAGGAUGAUGCGGUAGAGGAGCGUUCUGUAAGCCUGUGAAGGUGAGUUGAGAAGCUUGCUGGAGGUAUCAGAAGUGCGAAUGCUGACAUGAGUAACGACAAUGGGUGUGAAAAACACCCACGCCGAAAGACCAAGGUUUCCUGCGCAACGUUAAUCGACGCAGGGUUAGUCGGUCCCUAAGGCGAGGCUGAAAAGCGUAGUCGAUGGAAAACAGGUUAAUAUUCCUGUACUUCUGGUUAUUGCGAUGGAGGGACGGAGAAGGCUAGGCCAGCUUGGCGUUGGUUGUCCAAGUUUAAGGUGGUAGGCUGAGAUCUUAGGUAAAUCCGGGAUCUUAAGGCCGAGAGCUGAUGACGAGUGUUCUUUUAGAACACGAAGUGGUUGAUGCCAUGCUUCCAAGAAAAGCUUCUAAGCUUCAGGUAACCAGGAACCGUACCCCAAACCGACACAGGUGGUUGGGUAGAGAAUACCAAGGCGCUUGAGAGAACUCGGGUGAAGGAACUAGGCAAAAUGGCACCGUAACUUCGGGAGAAGGUGCGCCGGUGAGGGUGAAGGACUUGCUCCGUAAGCUCAUGCCGGUCGAAGAUACCAGGCCGCUGCGACUGUUUAUUAAAAACACAGCACUCUGCAAACACGAAAGUGGACGUAUAGGGUGUGACGCCUGCCCGGUGCCGGAAGGUUAAUUGAUGGGGUUAGCUAACGCGAAGCUCUUGAUCGAAGCCCCGGUAAACGGCGGCCGUAACUAUAACGGUCCUAAGGUAGCGAAAUUCCUUGUCGGGUAAGUUCCGACCUGCACGAAUGGCGUAACGAUGGCGGCGCUGUCUCCACCCGAGACUCAGUGAAAUUGAAAUCGCUGUGAAGAUGCAGUGUAUCCGCGGCUAGACGGAAAGACCCCGUGAACCUUUACUAUAGCUUUGCACUGGACUUUGAAUUUGCUUGUGUAGGAUAGGUGGGAGGCUUUGAAGCGUGGACGCCAGUUCGCGUGGAGCCAUCCUUGAAAUACCACCCUGGCAACUUUGAGGUUCUAACUCAGGUCCGUUAUCCGGAUCGAGGACAGUGUAUGGUGGGUAGUUUGACUGGGGCGGUCUCCUCCUAAAGAGUAACGGAGGAGUACGAAGGUGCGCUCAGACCGGUCGGAAAUCGGUCGUAGAGUAUAAAGGCAAAAGCGCGCUUGACUGCGAGACAGACACGUCGAGCAGGUACGAAAGUAGGUCUUAGUGAUCCGGUGGUUCUGUAUGGAAGGGCCAUCGCUCAACGGAUAAAAGGUACUCCGGGGAUAACAGGCUGAUACCGCCCAAGAGUUCAUAUCGACGGCGGUGUUUGGCACCUCGAUGUCGGCUCAUCACAUCCUGGGGCUGAAGCCGGUCCCAAGGGUAUGGCUGUUCGCCAUUUAAAGUGGUACGCGAGCUGGGUUUAGAACGUCGUGAGACAGUUCGGUCCCUAUCUGCCGUGGACGUUUGAGAUUUGAGAGGGGCUGCUCCUAGUACGAGAGGACCGGAGUGGACGAACCUCUGGUGUUCCGGUUGUCACGCCAGUGGCAUUGCCGGGUAGCUAUGUUCGGGAAAGAUAACCGCUGAAAGCAUCUAAGCGGGAAACUUGCCUCAAGAUGAGAUCUCACUGGAACCUUGAGUUCCCUGAAGGGCCGUCGAAGACUACGACGUUGAUAGGUUGGGUGUGUAAGCGCUGUGAGGCGUUGAGCUAACCAAUACUAAUUGCCCGUGAGGCUUGACC